UGAUGUUUCCAGACGUCUGUUGCCGAGCUUCUGCCCUGAGGAAAACUUCUCUCGCUACUACAACCAAUAUGAAG
rnacentral:snoRNA from 1 species